rnacentral:rRNA from 1 species
GCGAGCGGCGGAUGGGUGAGUAACACGCUGGGGAGCCUGCCCCUAAGUCUGGGAUACCAUUUGGAAACAGGUGCUAAUACCGGAUAAUAAAGCAGAUCGCAUGAUCAGCUUUUGAAAGGCGGCGUAAGCUGUCGCUAAGGGAUGGCCCCGCGGUGCAUUAGCUAGUUGGUAAGGUAACGGCUUACCAAGGCGACGAUGCAUAGCCGAGUUGAGAGACUGAUCGGCCACAUUGGGACUGAGACACGGCCCAAACUCCUACGGGAGGCAGCAGUAGGGAAUCUUCCACAAUGGACGCAAGUCUGAUGGAGCAACGCCGCGUGAGUGAAGAAGGUUUUCGGAUCGUAAAGCUCUGUUGUUGGUGAAGAAGGAUAGAGGUAGUAACUGGCCUUUAUUUGACGGUAAUCAACCAGAAAGUCACGGCUAACUACGUGCCAGCAGCCGCGGUAAUACGUAGGUGGCAAGCGUUGUCCGGAUUUAUUGGGCGUAAAGCGAGCGCAGGCGGAAAAAUAAGUCUAAUGUGAAAGCCCUCGGCUUAACCGAGGAACUGCAUCGGAAACUGUUUUUCUUGAGUGCAGAAGAGGAGAGUGGAACUCCAUGUGUAGCGGUGGAAUGCGUAGAUAUAUGGAAGAACACCAGUGGCGAAGGCGGCUCUCUGGUCUGCAACUGACGCUGAGGCUCGAAAGCAUGGGUAGCGAAACAGGAUUAGAUACCCUGGUAGUCCAUGCCCGUAAACGAUGAGUGCUAAGUGUUGGG